UGGGGAAUUUUGGACAAUGGGCGAAAGCCUGAUCCAGCAAUGCCGCGUGUGUGAAGAAGGCCUUCGGGUUGUAAAGCACUUUUGUCCGGAAAGAAAUCCUUGGCUCUAAUACAGUCGGGGGAUGACGGUACCGGAAGAAUAAGCACCGGCUAACUACGUGCCAGCAGCCGCGGUAAUACGUAGGGUGCAAGCGUUAAUCGGAAUUACUGGGCGUAAAGCGUGCGCAGGCGGUUUGCUAAGACCGAUGUGAAAUCCCCGGGCUCAACCUGGGAACUGCAUUGGUGACUGGCAGGCUAGAGUAUGGCAGAGGGGGGUAGAAUUCCACGUGUAGCAGUGAAAUGCGUAGAGAUGUGGAGGAAUACCGAUGGCGAAGGCAGCCCCCUGGGCCAAUACUGACGCUCAUGCACGAAAGCGUGGGGAGCAAAACAGGAUUAGAUACCCCUGGUAGUCCACGCCCUAAACGAUGUCAACUGUUGUUCGGAUUCAUUUCUAGUAACGUAUCUAACGCGUGAAGUUGACCGCCUGGGGAGUACGGUCGCAAGAUUAAAACUCAAAUGAAUUGACGGGGUC
rnacentral:rRNA from 1 species